UCUGCAGUGAUGAGCCGUUAACACAUAAGAAGAAAUCUUAACAUUUGGUUUCUUUGAUGAAAUAUACCUCUUACGCUUGGCUUUUGAGCUUU
rfam:Ricinus communis cultivar Hale ctg_1100012330010, whole genome shotgun sequence.